GACGAACGCUGGCGGCGUGCCUAAUACAUGCAAGUAGAACGCUGAAGGAGGAGCUUGCUUCUCCGGAUGAGUUGCGAACGGGUGAGUAACGCGUAGGUAACCUGCCUGGUAGCGGGGGAUAACUAUUGGAAACGAUAGCUAAUACCGCAUAACAGUAGAUGUUGCAUGACAUUUGCUUAAAAGGUGCAAUUGCAUCACUACCAAAUGGACCUGCGUUGUAUUAGCUAGUUGGUGAGGUAACGGCACACCAAGGCGACGAUACAUAGCCGACCUGAGAGGGGGAACUGCCCACCUGGGACUGGGACAGGGCCCAGACCCCUACGGGGGGCAGCAGUAGGGGAUCUUCGGAAAUGGACGGAAGUCUGACCGAGCAACGCCGCGGGAGUGAAGAAGGGUUUCGGAUCGUAAAGCUCUGUUGUAAGAGAAGAACGAGUGUGAGAGUGGAAAGUUCACACUGUGACGGUACCUUACCAGAAAGGGACGGCUAACUACGUG
rnacentral:rRNA from 1 species